rnacentral:rRNA from 1 species
UACGAAGGGUGCAAGCGUUACUCGGAAUUACUGGGCGUAAAGCGUGCGUAGGUGGUUUGUUAAGUCUGAUGUGAAAGCCCCGGGCUCAACCUGGGAAUUGCAUUCGAUACUGGAUAGCUAGAGUUCGGCAGAGGGAAGCGGAAUUUCUGGUGUAGCGGUGAAAUGCGUAGAUAUCAGAAGGAACAUCAGUGGCGAAAGCGGCUUCCUGGACCAGAACUGACGAUCAGGCACGAAAGCGUGGGGAGCAAACAGG